UACGGGGGGGGCAAGCGUUGUUCGGAAUUACUGGGCGUAAAGGGCUCGUAGGCGGCCAACUAAGUCGGACGUGAAAUCCCUCAGCUUAACUGGGGAACUGCGUCCGAUACUGGAUGGCUUGGAUUUGGGAGAGGGAUGCGGAAUUCCAGGUGUAGCGGUGAAAUGCGCAGAUAUCGGGAGGAACACCAAUUGCGAAGGCAGCUCGCUGGGACGUAACUGACGCUGAGACGCGAAAGCGUGGGGAGCAAACAGG
rnacentral:rRNA from 1 species